rnacentral:rRNA from 1 species
CUACGGGAUGCAGCAGGCGCGAAACCUUUACAAUGCACGAAAGUGUGAUAAGGGAAUCCUAAGUGCUUAUACAUUAGUAUAGGCUUUUUCUAAGAGUAAAUACCUUAGAGAACAAGUGAUGGGUAAGACUGGUGCCAGCAGCCGCGGUAACACCAGCGUCACAAGUGGCAACCACAUUUAUUUGGCCUAAAGCGUCCGUAGCAGGUUUUGAAAAUCUUCUGUGAAAUCGUUAAGCUCAACUUAACGGCGUGCAGGAGACACUCCAAGACUUGAGACCGGGAGAAGUUAGAGGUAUUUUGGGGGGAGCGGUAAAAUGUUAUAAUCCCCCAAAGAACACCUGUGGCGAAGGCGUCUAACUAGAGCGGAUCUGACUGUGAGGGACGAAAGCCAGGGGAGCAAAGCGGAUUAGAUACCCCUGUAGUC